rnacentral:lncRNA from 1 species
CUUUUUUGUUUAAAACUCAUUACAAGCCGAGAAGUGAAAAACAAUAUUAUCACCCUAUUCAAAGGGUUGAAAGAGUCUUGUUUGGAGUUGUGUGGGGUUGAAUAAUUAUGUUUGUAAUAUUUCAGAUAACUCAUUACAAGCCGAGAAGUGAAAAACAAUAUUAUCACCCUAUUCAAAGGGUUGAAAGAGUCUUGUUUGGAGUUGUGUGGGGUUGAAUAAUUAUGUUUGUAAUAUUUCAGAAGAUGGCAGAAA